GACGAACGCUGGCGGCGUGCCUAAUACAUGCAAGUUGAGCGAUGAAGAUUGGUGCUUGCACCAAUUUGAAGAGCAGCGAACGGGUGAGUAACGCGUGGGGAAUCUGCCUUUGAGCGGGGGACAACAUUUGGAAACGAAUGCUAAUACCGCAUAACAACUUUAAACAUAAGUUUUAAGUUUGAAAGAUGCAAUUGCAUCACUCAAAGAUGAUCCCGCGUUGUAUUAGCUAGUUGGUGAGGUAUAGGCUCACCAAGGCGAUGAUACAUAGCCGACCUGAGAGGGUGAUCGGCCACAUUGGGACUGAGACACGGCCCAAACUUCUACGGGAGGCAGCAGUAGGGAAUCUUCGGCAAUGGACGAAAGUCUGACCGAGCAACGCCGCGUGAGUGAAGAAGGUUUUCGGAUCGUAAAACUCUGUUGGUAGAGAAGAACGUUGGUGAGAGUGGAAAGCUCAUCAAGUGACGGUAACUACCCAGAAAGGGGCGGCUAACUACGUG
rnacentral:rRNA from 1 species